ensembl:lncRNA
AGCAAAAGGAGUUUGUUAGGUUAGUUAUAUAAUGAUCACUGAUAUACACAGACGUACCUUCAUAAGAAGGCAUUAGUUGACGUUACAAAUCGUCCUAACACACCGUGUGCUCUCUGUCACUUUAACACGGUGCUGUAAUAAACUAACAAGUGUUAUUAUUGAGAUGUUACUGCGGGAAAAGCAUUUUUGUACCUCAAUGUUGAAGCUGCAGUUAAUAACGAAGGUUUGCAUGUUUUCGCUGUAAAACGCAAUAAUGUAUAUUAAACUGGGUGACACUUGCCACCUAUAAAAGGCCUUUUAUGUGCUAGUUCUCUCGCUUACGGCCAUACCACCCUGAACACGCCCGAUCUCGUCUGAUCUCGGAAGCUAAGCAGGGUCGGGCCUGGUCAGUACUUGGAUGGGAGACCGCCUGGGAAUACCAGAUAGUUAUGAAUACAGGAUAAACACUGUGGGCUCCAGGAGACGGGGCAGAGGUAGUGAAGGUUGUCUGAAGGCACACUCAGACACUGUCACAGAAGGUUGUGGAGAUCCGUAGCGCUGAAACGUCUGCACAGAAACAGAGA